UACGUAGGGGGCUAGCGUUGUCCGGAAUUACUGGGCGUAAAGCGUGCGCAGGCGGUUCGUUGUGUCGGCGGUGAAAGCCUCGGGCUUAACCUGGGAAUGGCCGUUGAAACUGGCGAACUGGAGUGUGGCAGAGGGGGGUGGAAUUCCGCGUGUAGCAGUGAAAUGCGUAGAGAUGCGGAGGAACACCGAUGGCGAAGGCAGCCCCCUGGGCUGACACUGACGCUCAGGCACGAAAGCGUGGGGAGCAAACAGG
rnacentral:rRNA from 1 species